CUUUGGUUGACAACACAGGUGACUCCUCCAGUAAGCAGCAUCCACUUCUUACAGUAGUAUGAUGGUCAACAAUAAUGACUCAAUAGAUGACUUGGGCCAUGACCAAGAUUUUCUGCAUGCAAGGCAGUUAUGUUAUUUGGACAACUCUGAUUUGCUACCUCAGAAGUUGGCUUGCAGUGUAACCGAGACUGAAAUUAAUGAUGCAAGUGGCACCCUAGAAACGUUGAUUCCUUGUCUACUCCCUGCCUCAGAGUCUGGAAUGAACCAGGGUGCUCCCACUGACAAAAACAUGGAACAGACUGCAGGGCAGCAGGAUGGAGCACUGAGGCUGCAGAUGGAGCAGCUGCAGAGGCUGGUGGCAGAACAGCAGAAAAUCAUUGCACUUUACAACCCAGGGUUUUCUGUUUCUCCUGUGAUACCUUCCCAUCUAGCAGCCGCGAUGUCAUCCCUUCCAUGCUUUCCUUCUACUUUAUCUCCUGCCCAGUUGCCACCUGAAAAUUCUUCACAAGUUGAGAGCCCAGGAUGCUUAGAGACCUCUCCCUCAGCAGUGCCUUCUGCCCUGCAGAGCAGCUCCCCUCCACUGGUGCCAAAUGAGAGCGGCUCAGAAAUCUCAGGAGAGCACCUGCAGCUGUCAGAUUCAGGGAUAAGCACAGAGCCAUUGCUUCAGAGUACUGAGAGCCCCACAAAACAGCUUUCCAGACAAGAUGCUCAGGAAGAAACCAGAACAAAAAACAAAGAUAACAGUCAAUUAAAAGAAAGGACUUUCCCUGAAACUUUUUCUGCAGUUGAAGAACAAACAGAACAAAUGAAGGAGAUUCUUCCAUCUCCCUUCAGCACGAAGGUAAAGACUGGAAACCUAGGAAACAGGCCAAUCACAGCAGGAAUUGAUAUUAGACAGAAGGCUUCUGAAAAAUUUAUUGACCAGCAUCAGGUAGACACUCAGUUGAUAGAAAAACAGGAGCAGAAUCAGCAGAGCAAGGCAAAAGGAACACCUCGGAAGAGUUUUCUGAAGCGAAAAGAAGGUACUGUAAGGGUCAAAAAAAGUAAACAGAAGCCUUUCAAAGAAGUGAGCCAGCAUUCCAGAACUGAUGUGGGGCACUGGAGUCUUUUCUCCCAGCCGGGACAAAUGGAUGCAGGGAUACUGCAGCCAAGGGAAUACCCUCAUGUAAAUCUGCAAGUCAGCAGCUCCAUGCAUAUAGGUACACAUGGAAAAAAGGCAAACUGUGCUUUAGCUGAGAAGGGAAUUAAGGCUCAGACUGACUGUGAAGUGAAAGUACGGGAGCAAAGUGCAGAAGAAAAAGUAGUGAUUAGGAGAGAUGAAGAUGCUGUUGGCUCACCUCAUAAGAAGUGGACUGAAAUCAUGAACUCAUGUCCUGAAACAACAGAAAUGAACCUACAAUUAGGUGGGGAAAGUGAAACUAAUCACAAGGAUUCCCUAGAGCAAGCUGACAGAACUGAUGGAAGACUUAUGAAGGAUACACUGCAAAUAAACCUAGGUAGAACAAAUCAGCUUCUACAGGGUGAGCUCAGAGAGGAAGAAGAAAGCCCUUUGGAAGUCCUGCAAAAGUGUUCUACACUUCAGGGUAUAGAAUCAGAACGUAUGAGGAAAGGAGAGUGGAGUGCAGUCCCUGCAUUCACACAGGGCCAGAAGCAUGUGCAGGUAUGCCCACAAGAACUUGUUUCAGGGAGCCAGAGCCCAGAAAGCAAAGGACAAAUCCACACUGGUUUUAAGAAGGUCAAUGAUAAGAUCAUAAAAAUUACUUGUAACUCGCUUGAGACUGUGGAGCAAGGAAGCUCAUCCGAGCAGGAAUGGCAAAGGAACGGGACAGCUGCCAUGACAUGGCAUGUUGCAUCUUCAUCCCAUGGGUCAGGCUGCUUAUCCUCCAGUAGUGAUGAUGACCCCAAAUCUCAUUGCAGUCAAUAUCCCUCCCAGCAUGGGCCUCAGGUAGCAGAUCAUUCUGACAGACAUUUGGAUCUCUCUGAAAAUGAUUAUGCUAGUGAUGAGCCCAGUGAAACUGAACAAAUCUCCAUGAAAAAGAACAUCAGUUCCUCCUCAAGAAAACAAGAUGUUCUAGCACUCUCAAGACAUCAAAGUCUCUCCCUCAGCACAAGCAGCAGUGAUUCCAGCACUGGAGCUGUCAACCUGAAAGGGAGCAAGGCUCACUCUUCUCUUCAGCAUUCUGCAUUUCAUCUCACAAAAUCCAAAAGGAGAGAGGAUGAACCUGAAUCAAAGGCCAGGCAUGUUACAAGCCUUAAUCUGCCAUCCUCAGCAGUGGUUUUUAGGGUUAAAGGAGCCCCUGCAGUGAAGCAACCACAGAAUAAACUGCCUACAAAUAUGUUAGAAGAAACCCAGAACAUCCUUUCCAGAGGAUUAGAAACUGGUGUAUAUCAUGGCGGAACCCUUUCACUGACUGGAGCAGAAGAAGAACAGGACAAAGCAAUGCAUUUUCUCAGCAGAAUACGAAUGGACCAACUCAAGGCUGUCAGGGGCCAGCAAUACAACAGAGAGCAAACUGACACAAAGGUGCAUAGCAAGUUCAAAGGAACAGCUAGAGUCAUUGGAGAAAGUGUGAAAUCAGAGGAAAUACAAAUAUUAAAGCAACAGAUUACAAGACUGCAGGAGGAGUUCAGGAGAAAUGAGUCCUGCUGGCAUGCUGCCUAUGGCAAGCUAAGAGACCAGGUUGAGAUGCUGACUAGGCAGAACAUGGAGCUUCGAGAUGAGCUCAGAGGUUCAGAACAGAAGAGGCUGAAAGCAGAAAGAAAAACAGGAACUGUGAAUCUCGUUGACAGAAAAUCAGAGACACCGGCAAGCUCUGUACAAAAGGCUGAUCCAUUGAGACUGGUAACAAAGGAACAUCAAGAAAAGAAACCAUCUCACUGCUCCCUUGGCAGAAGCACAACACCAACUGGCAGGACAACACCUCACCAGGGAAGAGUGACACCUUUUGAAUCAGAAGAAGUUGUACACCAACUCUCUCCUACUGGGAGAAGAACAGAUGAGAGGAAAUCACCUGGAACUGGCUCACAUCUGACUAUUUCCAAGGGGCGUAAGUCAUCUUCUUAUGAAAAAGGCACACCUUCACCCAUUUCAAUUAUCUCAGAAGACAUGUUCCUCUCAAACAAGCACAGCAAUAACACUUGCAGCUUUGCACUCUGCAGUUACAGGGAGGAAACACAGGAAGAAGAGAUUCCUAAUCUUAAAAAGACAGAAAAAAUGUUAAAACCUCAGAAUAAAGUGGCUUUUGCAACGACCCUAAGGAGAAGUGGCAUAACUGCAUAUGAGAACAAAGUACUUACAAGCAGUUCUCCUACUCUUCUGGAUGCUGAAGCAAAGAUACAGCCUCCAAAAUCAAUAUUAUCUAGAAGGUCAAUGUUACAUCAAGAAAGAAGAAAAAAUGAGGACAUGGUGCAGGAAAAAAUAGAGCAUCGUGAUGGAAAGGUGAGAUAAAUUAAGGUGCUUGAAGAGAUCACCAACAGGGCUGCAACAGAUAGUAAUUGCCACUUCAAGUAGUCAUAGAGAAUUAUCUCUCAAAGAGUCCUUAAUGAAGAGCUUAAGUAUAAAGUUCACGUUAUAAGUAGCAGGAAAUUAUAUAUAGCUGAUGGGAUGGAAAUCAAGUAAGCAAUUUUUCUUAUCUCCUACUGUACUGACUGAGGGUAAUCUAUGUCCAAUCACAGUUGUCAAUUCUUGAUAAGCCUUAGGAUAUAUGAAGUUCAGACAGUAAAGUAAAACACAGGUUGCUGUGUCUAUUCAGUUCAGAGCUUCUCCUGUCAAUACACGUGUUGAUUAAUGAUACUUUCCAGUAAGCACACACGGAAAAGGCCUUUGCAAUGUAACAUUGUUCAGGGGAAACUGGUUUGAUGUACCUAUUAUUUUAUAGCUAGUGCUGAGAUAGACUGUGUGAAAAUUUCUACCAAUCACAUUUCCUUCUCAUAGAAAUAGAAAAUACAUUAUUCAUUGUUUUGGUCCUUGUGAAAAAGUCCUUUUUACCACUGUAUUUGAUUCAUAAAACUUAUUGUUGGACACGGCUUAUUCAACAUGAGAGUGGCCAAAAGGUGGAUUGAGUCAUUAAUUCUUAUUUAAACUAACUGGAACUUUUUCUAACAAGGCCUUUGUAUUAAGUAUCUAUAAGAAUAUCUUUCUAUAACUGACUAGUUUUUUCUAAACAAAAAUAUUUCUAAAACUAAGAUCUUGCCCUCACUAUUUGUCCCCUUUCCCUGAAGAUAUUUAUUCCUUCUUGUCUUGUUGGGACAUGUGCUUUUUUUUUUCUGUAGACAACACUGGAAAUACAAGGAAAAGCUAUAGUGCACCCUAUGGUUGUCUUCUUUUUUUUUAGAGUUUGCUAAAUGAAUUAAAU
rnacentral:lncRNA from 1 species